GCCACAUGGAGGAAUCCUUGUGCGUUGCUGCUGGAAAUGCCGUGUCUCCUACCUUGUGUGUGUGUUAUUGAGUUAUAAACCACACAUACCUACUCCAAUAAUCAAUGAAGAAAUUGUGGAAUUAAAAGUGACUGGACUGAACUGUUGUCACCGACACCUCCACUGGUAUCAAGCCAGCCACCUACACAUCCCUCUCAAACCUCCUUUUCAAUAUGUUACAUUUCCACUGUUUAGAAACGAACAAUUUUCAGUUUUUGCUGUGAUUUCUGCUUCUUCUCGUUCGGGGAAAACACGGGCGCAUUGCGAUGUGGUAUACGGGAGAAAUGUACCUUCCGUGACAGAAUUUGUUUAUGUUUUGGCCUGUGUGUUAUCAACUGCCCAGUUGGACAGCCAGGUCGGGUUGCCAGAUAUACCUGUAGACAAGUAAGCCAGCACGCUACAGCUGUAGUACAGCCAUGGAAGCAGCAUACAAACUAACGGGAUCAACGGAGAUAGAUUCUACACGAC